GCCUGGCUGGCUCAGUCUGGUAAGCGUCCGACUUCAGCUCAGGUCAUGUUCUCACGGUUCGUGGGUUCGAGCCCCACGUCAGGUU
rnacentral:tRNA from 1 species